rnacentral:tRNA from 2 species
CAGAUGUAGUUUAAUGGUAGAACUUCAGCCUUCCAAGCUGACCACGGGAGUUCGAUUCUCCUCAUCUG